CGAAAACGAAUUCUCUCUUGAGUGGAUCCUGAGUACGACGGAGCACGUGAAAUUCCGUCGGAAUCUGGGAGGACCAUCUCCUAAGGCUAAAUACUCUCUAGUGACCGAUAGUGAACCAGUACCGUGAGGGAAAGGUGAAAAGUACCCCGGAAGGGGAGUGAAAGAGAACUUGAAACCGUGUGCUUACAAGUAGUCAGAGCCCGUUAAUGGGUGAUGGCGUGCCUUUUGUAGAAUGAACCGGCGAGUUACGAUCUGAUGCAAGGUUAAGCAGAAAAUGUGGAGCCGUAGCGAAAGCGAGUCUGAAUAGGGCGAAUGAGUAUUUGGUCGUAGACCCGAAACCAGGUGAUCUACCCUUGGUCAGGUUGAAGUUCAGGUAACACUGAAUGGAGGACCGAACCGACUUACGUUGAAAAGUGAGCGGAUGAACUGAGGGUAGCGGAGAAAUUCCAAUCGAACUUGGAGAUAGCUGGUUCUCUCCGAAAUAGCUUUAGGGCUAGCCUCAAGUGAUGAUUAUUGGAGGUAGAGCACUGUUUGGACGAGGGGCCCCUCUCGGGUUACCGAAUUCAGACAAACUCCGAAUGCCAAAUAAUUUAACUUGGGAGUCAGAAUGUGGGUGAUAAGGUCCAUAUUCGAAAGGGAAACAGCCCAGACCACCAGCUAAGGUCCCAAAAUAUAUGUUAAGUGGAAAAGGAUGUGGCGUUGCCCAGACAACUAGGAUGUUGGCUUAGAAGCAGCCAUCAUUUAAAGAGUGCGUAAUAGCUCACUAGUCGAGUGACACUGCGCCGAAAAUGUACCGGGGCUAAACAUA
rnacentral:rRNA from 1 species